rfam:Gongylonema pulchrum genome assembly, scaffold: GPTH_contig0007352
GGGCCGGUGGUGUAGUGGUAACACAUUGCGUCCGGACAUGACGACGAGUGGUUCGAUUCCGUCCCGGUCCG